AAUUGGUUCUGUUGUGAAAAGUAGAGUGUAUUUUUCUUCCAUGUCCGUGAGAUUGAAACUGGAAGAAAAGUUUGAUGUUUCAUUGCAGGUGAUACGCCAUUUGAAUUAUGUUUAACAUGGCCCAGUUAUGCUCAUGAAAUUUGAGGCAGUGGUGUGUUGUUUCAGCCAUUACAUUGUUUGUUAAUUGUAAAGAGAAAAGGUCGCGAAAAAUUUGAGUUUCUUGGUGUUUUAGUAUGUAUUACUUAAAAAUGUAGCCUCACAUUCUGCACCGAAUGGUAUUUCAAGCAACCCUAUGCUGCGCAAGCGCAGUGGAUUGAUCCACCAACUCGUUAUUGGUUGACAGUGUCACGUCAUUACGUAAUACGUUGUCUUGUGAAGUAAUGGCGUGGUUCGUCAAAAUGGCCAUUUGAACUAAGUGCUUGAGAUGUCCUGGAAUGAUUCCUCCGUACAGAUCACAUAUUGGAAAACCAUGAUAAUCAACAAUACAUAUCCAGUGAUGAGACCUACUGCAAGCUUUUGGACAAUAGAGAUUGAUAAGAAAUAUGAGCAUUUGUCUAAUACAAAUAUGAGGCACAGUUAGGCAUUUCCUCAGCGAUGGGUCGGACUAGGAGGGUGGAUAGCCUGGCCUCCACGCUUUCCAGAUCUUACCCCCUAUGGAUUUUUAUUUGUGGGGUUAUGUGAAGCAACAAGUGUUCUCUGUCCAAAUAAUAAAUUUGGACCAUUUGAAAGAACGGAUCGCUGAAGAUGUUUCAUCUAUCACACCGGAUGUUCUCGGU